UACCAGGGCAAGCUUAUUUGUAGGGGGCUCUUCUAUUAGACCAAGUAGCAGAUCAUCAAGCAAAGGCAGAUUAAUUUGUGUUGGGGAAAUAACAGGCCUUUUAACUAGUGACUUGGCUUUCAAGAAGUAUGUUGUCAGCCAGAUCCGUAACUCAGUGAUUUGAAUGGGCCUAUUCAGAUUUACACCGGCUGAGGAGUUCGCUUGCAUAUCAAUUGAGCAUGAUGGUGGCUUCCAGCCUUGAUGCCAAACAGGCCGGACAGAGACAAUCUGCAGUCAGCCUAUAGACAGAGGGGAUGAAAUCUUAGUGAGUGCCAGCGAGCUGUCACGUCAAUUACCUAUAGCUUGCUCUGCAACAUGCCCACACAAAGAACUACAUGGAAGUAAUCGCUGUCUACACUCCGCUUCCCCAUCAGAGAAGGAGUAAUGCCACUGAAGUCAGUACAGCAGCUUGCAGAAUAAAGUACUACUCAGGUGCAUUCAGAUGCUGCCAAAAAUCACAGACAACACUGAACCAGCAGUGGUGGAUUAGAGCAGCUCUGUGUUGACAACAAAGAUUAAUGGUCAUUCACAUCAGCAAGAAAAACUCUUAAUACACUGCUAGUGUACCUUCUGAAAAUAUAGGAUUCAGUCUAUAUCUGUGAUGCAGUCCUUUCAGGAUAUCUAUCGAAGACUGGCAAGUGCUACUGCAGACUUUGUUCUUUCUUUGAGUGAAAUGUCCUGAAUAUGUCAUCCCUAUUUUGGAUUUCUGGUGCAUACAGUAUAUUGUUGUAUCAUGUAUUUCCAAACAAACAAGGAAAGUUAUGCAUAAAAUAAACUAGCCAUCACAGACAUAGAACAAAGCCAUUUAUUUUCAUGUUAGAAGGUCUCCGUAAAUGAUCCACAACGUUUAAGGAAAAUAAAAAGCAAAUAUUUUUAAAGGACUGUAUGUAAUGAGUGAUUGUUACUACAGUGUCUGCUUGAUGGUCAUGGCUGAGAAACUUAUGCAUGAAGACACUGCUUGUUAUUUCUGCUGCCAAUGCAUAGAAUUGGAGGCUGGAAGAUUCUGUAGGAAAAUAAAGUGGAUGGAUUGCAUUUGAAAUAGAGGCUCUAAACGACAGCAUGAAGAAAAGGAAAGAAAAAACAACAAGUAAGCUUACAGCGACAGUAGGAGAAACAUGAGUAAAAAGCAAAUUGAUGAUAUGCAGAAAAAAGAGUUAACAGAAAUAAUUUCCACUGCCCAGAAUACAUGAAUCUGUUACAUGGUUUGUUGCACGUUAAAAAAUACUGACAUUUUAGACAAAAAAAUGUUUUGAGCACAAUAAUAAACGUUACUUUUAAAAAAGAUCCCUUUUUGAAUUUUUUUCCAUCUCAGUUUACAUUUUUAGGGUGCAACACAAAUCAAGAAUAAACAUCUGGAAAUGUAAAGUUUAAACUGGCAAUCCCCACUCAGAAAAACAGACACCUUUAAUGCCAUUAGAAUGAAUGUUGUUACUUACUGUUAGUUAUAACCACCCCGGCAGUUGAAAUUGAAACACAUUUCCUUGCUAAACUAUUGUGUCUUCCAUCUUGUGCACACACUGUUUUGUUACUGUGGGGUUUUGUUCAUCCAGGGCGUGCUGGCAUUUUAAAACCUUUUGCAACGAAGCAUUUAUUUAUUUGUUUGCGUUUGCUUUUAAACCAAACACACUAAAGAUGAGGAUGAAGUGUUAACUUUCAAUUUCCCAUUUUGUAUUAGUUUGUGGCACACCUCAUUUAUGUUAUCUUAUUUCCUUCUUCUAUUAAAAUGAUCUUUCACAAAAGCUGUUAUAAAACACCCAUCAUUUAUCCAAGACUCAAAUUGAUUUCAGUCUAUCCAGUGAAAACACCUCCUCUCUCAGGUCCAAAUUGUGGCAACCUCUAUGGUUCAGCAAACCCCUCAAUUUCUCAACUACUACCUCAUUCACUCCUUUAUGGCCAAACCCAUCCCAUCAAAGGAAUUGAGAGUCUCACCACUGACUUCUAAGGCCUG